AUGGUGCAUCUAAGAUUUACUGGUGCGUCCGAUAGUCGCUCGAGCAAAUCACGAGAGACUAUAGGCGAUGUGAUACAUGGCAAGGCCAUCACUACGAAGUUAUCUCUUCCAAAAAUUCGAACUAUCAUUAAGAAGUUAAAUCCUAGACAGAGGGACUUGGUGAGGGCUUGCGGAUUUGGGACAAUGCUGGAUAUUAAUUGCUCUCAGUUGCCAAGGGAUUUGGGAGUUCGCCUAGCGAUUUGGUUUGAUUGUGACAGUCGAACUGUAAAUGUUCCAAAUGUUGGCAGCUUCGAGAUAAACCCAUUCACAGUCCACCAGAUUCUCGGUAUACCAUUGGGUGGUCGGUUAAUUGACAAGAUAGCAACAAGUGAGGCCAGGAGGGUCAUUGCUGAAGACACCGGAAUACAUUCUACUGGGCCUAGCAUUUCACACCUGAUGAAGUUAUUGUCCAAUGACCUCACUGAUGAAAAGUUCCUUAGAAUCUUCAUGCUCAUUUUACUGUCAACCUUCCUGUGUCCAACCAGUCACUCCUGUGCGAGCCCGGACUACUUCAAUGGCAUUGUUGCCACUGAUGAUAUCGCCAACUAUGACUGGUGCAGCUUUGCAUUAGACUGGUUAGUGGAAAAGAUCGGACAGUUUCAGAUCUCCUUGUCCAAGCCAACCGUGAAAGGUAAAGAGCAGUCUAUCUCUCUUGGAGGAUGCUUGAUGAUUCCUUUGGUAAUGUUCUUUGAUUAUCUCGAUCUAAAAGGAACAAAGAUUCGCAACUGCAUCCCACGGUUACCAGCUUGGGAUGAUAAAGCCAUCAGCGCGUUUGACAAUAUAAAUUUUGCACAACUAAAGUUCAAAGACAUAACUAAAACAUGUUUCAUGGAAAAGCCAUCAUGUAUUCCAUCGUCUCAUUCUUUGCCAAAUGGAGUUGCUCAGUUCAUCGACGGACUUAUCCCAUCUGAUGAUGAUUUCAGGGCAAAGAUGAAGGAGAUGUGCGCCGAAUUUUACAAGACGUCAAUGGAUGCAUGCUUUAAUGCACUACAGCCAGUCCUCGCAAAGCAGAUGUGCACAAUGGUUGAAACUAUUCAGAACCAGGUCAAUAACAGAGCUUCAUCAUCUUCAACACCACCAGUCAAUGAACUGACCUGCAAGGAAUGUAAUUCACAGAAAUGCACAAUGCGGGAUGGUGUAUCCGCCACACCGCUCCAAACAGUUAUAGAUGCAGAGUUUCACAAUCCUUCAGUGGGUCCAGCACUGGGUACGGUAGAGAGCACUGGUGGUGGUGAUAUAUUUCAUUACGACCCAAAUGAUGAAGAUGUGAUAAAUGGCCUGCUGCAAUUACGCCGCCAUGGAGGAUCUGUUAUGGGGGAUACACCUUUUGGUGCCCUCGUUGCUGACCAACCUGUUGUUGCCAUGUCAAGUGAGCAAGAUUUUGGUACGGAGGAUUCGCCGUCAGCUGCUACUGAAGUUGGGCACCCAGAAAGCAAUCAAAUUUCUGCCGCUGAAUGCUCCAGGGCCUCCAAGAGGCAGAAGUCACAUUGA
rnacentral:rRNA from 1 species